rnacentral:misc_RNA from 1 species
GAUGAAGAACGCAGCGAAAUGCGAUAAGUAAUGUGAAUUGCAGAAUUCAGUGAAUCAUCGAAUCUUUGAACGCACAUUGCGCCCGCCAGUAUUCUGGCGGGCAUGCCUGUUCGAGCGUCAUUUCAACCAUCAAGCCCCCGGCUUGUGUUGGGGACCUGCGGCUGCCGCAGGCCCUGAAAACCAGUGGCGGGCUCGCUAGUCACUCCGAGCGUAGUAAUACAUCUCGCUCAGGGCGUGCUGCGGGUUCCGGCCGUUAAAAAGCCUUAUUUACCCAAGGUUGACCUCGGGUCAGGUAGGAAGACCCGCUGAACUUAAGCAUAUCAAUAAGCGGAGGA